UGUGGAAACUGGGCUCGAGUUUCCGGCUAAAUUUAGAUCGUUCGCUCAUAUAAAUGCGCCUCAGAUAUCAUCAAAGACAUCAUACUGUGGUACACGCUCUCAAGAACAACGACAAGACUAAAUAUUAAACUGCAAAUAUGUCUUCGAAAAAAGGUAAAAAAUAAUUCUGUAUAUAUAUCGGUAUGUAAUAUGUAGUUAAUACAGUUUAUUGGUUUUUGUCAGUGAACUCGCGAAGCGGCAACCAACGUUAAUGUUUAUAUUGAAUUCCAAUACAACUCAUUAGUCGUGUUUGUAAUGAAAUAUAACUGUAAUACCA